rnacentral:rRNA from 1 species
AGAACGAACGCUGGCGGCGUGGAUAAGACAUGCAAGUCGAGCGAGAUUUUUCUUGUAGCAAUACAGGGAAAAGUCUAGCGGCAAACGGGUGAGUAACACGUGGGUGACCUGCCUUCGAGCGGGGGAUAACGUCCCGAAAGGGACGCUAAUACCGCAUAACAUCCUGCCUUUUAAGAGGUGGAGAUCAAAGCCGGGACCGCAAGGCCUGGCACUUGAAGAGGGGCCCGCGUCUGAUUAGCUAGUUGGUGGGUAAUGGCCUACCAAGGCAACGAUCAGUA